UGCAUUCACUAAUAUAAGUCGCUCUGGAUAAGAGCGUCUGCUAAAUGACUUAAA
rfam:Salmo salar isolate Sally breed double haploid chromosome ssa09, whole genome shotgun sequence.